GUGUACUAUACCGUGCUCAUGGCAUUAGCU
rnacentral:piRNA from 1 species